AAUUUGUAAAAUUUUCUCAUGACUUUUAUUUCUCAAUGUAUGCUUUCAUCGAUCUCGCAGAGUUCUUGGGGCUGGAAUGGAGAACAAUGACUUCAGGCAAUGUGUGGUCUGACCUUGGCAGAGGCCUUUCCUUUUGGCUUUUCCUGGUCAAAAUGGUUCAGACUCCCUUGAGUGAGCAGCACAGCCACAGAAGAAUCCCAUCUCUUUUCUUCCAGGUCUGCAGCAACGUCAAUUCUUGCCUCCUAAGAAGGAAGAAUUCGACGGAGGGGCACAAAGCAGAAAGGGCGACUGAGUCAAGUUCCAGAGCAGGAAUGAAAGUUUAUUUUAAAAUGCCUUAGAACAGGAACGAAAUGAAGGUGUGCAUGGAAAAGACCCACGCAGGCACAUGAAGGUUAAAGAGAGAAGGAUGGAUCUCAAAAAAGAAAUCAAAACUGGCUCAGAUUUCCCAAGGAUUUCCAUAUCUAUAUACUAGAAGAUAAUUCAGACUUAUGCAUCUGAGAA
rnacentral:lncRNA from 1 species